rnacentral:rRNA from 1 species
AAUCAACGCUGGCGGCGCGCUUAACACAUGCAAGUCGCACGAGAAAGUGGAGCAAUCCAUGAGUACAGUGGCGUACGGGUGAGUAACACGUGGAUCAUCUGCCUCUUGGUGGGGAAUAACCCUGGGAAACCGGGGCUAAUACCGCAUAAGCCUGCAAAGGGAAAGCAGCAAUGCGCCGAGAGAGGAGUCCGCGGCCGAUUAGCUUGUUGGUAGGGUAAUGGCCUACCAAGGCAAUGAUCGGUAGCCGGCCUGAGAGGGCACACGGCCACACUGGCAC